UACGUAGGUGGCAAGCGUUGUCCGGAAUUACUGGGUGUAAAGGGUGCGUAGGCGGGUAUGUAAGUCAGGUGUGAAAUUCCGAGGCUCAACUUCGGAACUGCAUUUGAAACUACAUAUCUUGAGUGAAGGAGAGGUAAGUGGAAUUCCCAGUGUAGCGGUGAAAUGCGUAGAUAUUGGGAGGAACACCAGUGGCGAAGGCGACUUACUGGACUUUAACUGACGCUGAUGCACGAAAGCGUGGGUAGCAAACAGGAUUAGAUACCCUGGUAGUCCACGCUGUAAACGAUGGAUACUAGGUGUGGGAGGUAUCGACUCCUUCCGUGCCGCAGUUAACACAAUAAGUAUCCCACCUGGGGAGUACGGCCGCAAGGUUGAA
rnacentral:rRNA from 1 species